rnacentral:rRNA from 1 species
GACGAACGCUGGCGGCGUGCCUAACACAUGCAAGUCGAACGGUGAAGCGCCUUCCUUUUUGGUGGGUGUGGAUGAGUGGCGAACGGGUGAGUAACACGUGAGUAACCUGCCCCCUUCUUCUGGAUAACCGCAUGAAAGUGUGGCUAAUACGGGAUAUUCUGGGUCUGUCGCAUGAUGGGUCUGGGAAAGAUAUUGUUUCGGUGGGGGAUGGGCUCGCGGCCUAUCUGCUUGUUGGUGGGGUGAUGGCCUACCAAGGCGGUGACGGGUAGCCGGCCUGAGAGGGUGGACGGUCACACUGGGACUGAGACACGGCCCAGACUCCUACGGGAGGCAGCAGUGGGGAAUAUUGCACAAUGGGCGCAAGCCUGAUGCAGCGACGCCGCGUGAGGGAUGGAGGCCUGCGGGUUGUGAACCUCUUUCGCCAGUGAAGCAGGCCUGCCUCGUUUGUGGGUGGGUUGACGGUAGCUGGAUAAGAAGCGCCGGCUAACUACGUG